AUACAUUUUUCAGCCUUUUGGGUAAGAUAAAGUGUAGUAUAUAGCUUUAUCAGUUUAAUAUUUGAUAUGUGAGCAUUAGCUCGUCCGAUAUUAACUCUAUUUUUUAAUGAAAAAAACCUAUUAAAAUAGCUUGCUAUCUAAGUUUUUAGAGUCUACUAUGUCUUGUACUAGUGCAUAGACUGGCUCAAUCCAC